CAGCAGCCGCGGUAAUACGUAGGGUGCGAGCGUUAAUCGGAAUUACUGGGCGUAAAGCGUGCGCAGGCGGUUAUAUAAGACAGAUGUGAAAUCCCCGGGCUCAACCUGGGACCUGCAUUUGUGACUGUAUAGCUAGAGUACGGUAGAGGGGGAUGGAAUUCCGCGUGUAGCAGUGGAAUGCGUAGAUAUGCGGAGGAACACCGAUGGCGAAGGCAAUCCCCUGGACCUGUACUGACGCUCAUGCACGAAAGCGUGGGGAGCAAACAGGAUUAGAUACCCCCGUAGUCCCUGUCUCUUAUAC
rnacentral:rRNA from 1 species